rnacentral:rRNA from 1 species
GAAGGCCUUCGGGUUGUAGGGCCCUUUUGUUGGGAAAGAAAUCCAGCUGGCUAAUACCCGGUUGGGAUGCGGUACCCAAAGAAUGAGCACCGGCUAACUUCGUGCCAGCAGCCGCGGUAAUACGAAGGGUGCAAGCGU